CGUGAGCCAUAUUUUAUGGCCAUUCUGAACUGACAAGUCAGUCAGCCGCAAAGCCCAGAGAGGUGGGAGGCCCCUCUGCUGCCAGUGUUGAGUGGUAGGGCUGCAACCUUACUCCUUCAAGUAAAUAAAUCAAAGCAAGAGCAUCAGAGCCAAUUUUGAGGAACAAGCAUACUGCUAGAAAUACGUGAUUGAGAGGAAAAAGCAGCGCCGGGAAGAAGCAGGUAUAACUUCACGGCACCUGGAAAGUUCUCGAAAACACAGCCACCGCCCUGAGCUGGUACCUGCCGGAGAAGAUGGGCAGGAAGCAGCGGGGAGGUGGAGCGGGGUGACAGAAUCCAGAGAACUUGAAGGUCCGCCUCUUGACAAAGAGGACACAUGCUGGUGACGUCCUCAGAGGUAGAAUGUAAGACAUCCAGUAACAUGCUGUAAGAAAAUGAAGGCUGUGGCAGGGAAGCAGCCACUAAGGACCGGAGAAUCGAAUACAUCAGUUAAUUUGUGGGCUGCUUGGACCUGGCAUCUUCCACAGUGUCAUGAACUUUUAUCCCAAAAGGCAUCUUCAGCCGGAGGUACCGAACCCAGAAAGGGGUCAGAGUUCGAAUUACAGACUUUUCUAUCACAGACUUCAAAAGGUGCAAGAAUUGUGUUGCGGAUGUAUCCACUGGGCCCAGAUUCCCGCCAUCAGCUGCUCUCUGUCUUCUGAGCAGCUGUGGUUUGCUGUGACCGUGCCCCUGCUGCAAAGACAGGCUUCUUUAAUGAAGGAUGGGAGCUACAAGGGCCUGGAAGGAGAGUUACAGAAACCAAACUGGGAACAGCCCUUGAUCUUGUGUGUAAACACGUAAAUACCAACCGUCACAUGUCACAGCAGUGCAGCAUGGGAAAAGUCAAGUGUGUGGAGGGAGAGUUCCAUUUGGUUUUUCUGUGUGCAGCCUUGGCUGUCCUGGACUCACUCUGUCGACCAGGCUGGACUCCAGCUCACAUUGAUCCACCUGCCUCUUUAACCCCCGGGUGCUGGGGUUAAAGGUGUGCCCCACCCCACCUGGCUGAAUCUUCAUUAUUAGUAAGAAAUGCUGCACUCUUCAAAAGCCAUCCCAACACACAAGGCUGCUGAGCUGCCCCCUCCGAGGACCACUGCUCUGUAGGCUCCGGCUCUAAAGAUGAGUCUGGGCUGAGUAAGCUCACUGAACAUGCACCACCAUAGCACCCUCGGAAGGGACCAACCCCAUCCAAAGCAAAUAACUCCCUUGCCUCCACAUUCCUGAGCGGCUAGGCAUGUUCUUCCCACUCUCAGAUGCCUAUAAUUCCUUGUCGUGGAGUCAAUUAUGACAAGUAGGAGCCAAUAUACCGACUUUUUCCUUCACACACAGCCCUUCUGAAAUGGGAGCGGCACACGGCGCUGUUGUGGCUGGCAGCCUCCCUUGUCCUCACCCUCUGCUGGCCUUGCUGCCGCUGAGACACAUCCCUACCCUUUCCGAGAGGAGUCACGGAGAGGUAGGACGCUUCGCUGAAGAUCCCUCAGGGUCCGGGUCACCGUUAUGGUUUGAAUGUAAAAUGCCUGUUCCUGCUCUGAAAGCUCAGUCCUGGGUUUGUGGCUUUAUUUUGGAGGCUGUGGAGCCAUAAGAAAGCUGGGCCCAGUCUGUAGAAGAGGUCACUAGGGGUGGACCUUCAUACGUCAAGUAUGGCCACAGUUCUGGUUCAGUUUUCUUCCUGGGCCACUGCCACAUGAGGUAUCUAUGCCAUAGACUCCCACCACAACGAAUGCCACCGCAGCCAGCUGCUCUGCCACCACGCCUUCCUCACCACAGAACCUGAAAGCCCUCUGGAGCAAAGCACAUUUUUCCUGCAGCAGGAGGCUUUUGUUAGAGCGCCUGUUUCAAAGAUGAAAAGUAAUGACCACAGCUGAGCCAGCCUCCGCACCUGGCAGGUGUCUGAGAUUGAUGCUGAGAUUAAGGAACAGCAACAGAAGUCCUCGCUGUUUCCCAGCCUGAGCUUCUCUGAGGCCCACAGCCUCACCUCACUCGGUCCUUUCCCAUUCACAACUUCUCCGUUGGCCUGUUCUGAUCCAGGAUCCUCCCUCACUGGUCCCUCCAGCCAAGACAUCCCUCUCCAGUGUGGAGCUAUUGCCUUGGUCCUCAUUGGUCUCCCAUCUACCAUCUUCCUACCCGUAUUUCACCCUGCAGUGGAUGCUCUUCAAGACACUUCUUUCUCUUGCACCAGCAAAGAUUAUAGUAGGAACAUGUUCCUGUUAUGAAAUUUUUGCAUC